rnacentral:rRNA from 1 species
AUUGAACGCUGGCGGCAUGCCUUACACAUGCAAGUCGAACGGCAGCACGGGUGCUUGCACCUGGUGGCGAGUGGCGAACGGGUGAGUAAUACAUCGGAACGUACCUUAUCGUGGGGGAUAACGCAGCGAAAGUUGCGCUAAUACCGCAUACGCCCUGAGGGGGAAAGCGGGGGACCGUAAGACCUCGCGCGAUUAGAGCGGCCGAUGUCUGAUUAGCUUGUUGGUGAGGUAAAAGCUCACCAAGGCGAUGAUCAGUAGCUGGUCUGAGAGGACGAUCAGCCACACUGGGACUGGGACACGGCCCAAACUCCUACGGGAGGCAGCAGUGGGGAAGUUUGGACAAUGGGGGCAACCCUGAUCCAGCAAUGCCGCGUGAGUGAAGAAGGCCUUCGGGUUGUAAAGCUCUUUUGUCAGGGAAGAAACAGCAGCUCUAACACAGUCUGCGAAUGACGGUACCUGAAGAAUAAGCACCGGCUAACUACGUGCCAGCAGCCGCCGUAA